UCCCUGGCGGUCCAGUGGCUAAGUCUCUGCAAUCUCAAUGCAGAGGGCCCAGGUUCGAUCCCUGGCCAGGAAA
rnacentral:tRNA from 1 species